CUCUACAGGUGUUGAACGAGCCUAAGUUUUAUGCUGCCAUGUGGUUAAUGAUCCGCAUAACGCGUAAAACGCCAAAUCACAAUUGGAACAAUUGAAACAUGAGCCGGAUAAAACCCAGUUAAGAAUUUGUAGCUUCACCACAUACAGACAAGUGUCUUACAAUGCCACAGGAAGAAUGAAUUCGGGGAAAAAUCAAGAGCACUAGGGAUUCCCCUUAUCUAUUAGGACAAAGAAAGAAGACCUAGAUAAGCUGAGAGAAAGAAUAGGAAGAUUUUUAAAUGUGAACAGUUCGAUGUUAUCAGUAAGAUUAAGAUGUGAAAUCACAGAAGAGAAAGGAACAAUGAACUAGGAAAAUUGAAAUGUUAUAACCCGUAAUUAAUGGACAAGACAUAAAGUAAAAACCCAAACCCA